rnacentral:tRNA from 1 species
UCUGCCGCAUCGACUGGCGGCCUUCGCGACUGCUGGUCGCGGCGCUCGCGGCGCUCGGUCCGCUGGGGGCAUGG